GCAUCCAAAACUGUUUAUUACUUGAACUAUUAACAAAUGUUCUUAAGGAUAAACUACUACCAAUGUACUGAGGAUGUGAUAUGAUUUUUACAGAGAGGGUGGUCAAACAGGGCAACAGGCUUCCUAAAAUGUUUGUUUCCUGCACUAACUAACUAUGAACAAAUGUUCUUAAGGAUAAGAUACAAUAAAUGCAUUUAAAGUAUGGGAUAUGAUUUUUACAGCAUGAUAAUCAGUGAGACAGGCUCCUUGAAAUACUUAGAUCUUGCAAUAUAUACAUAAUAUUAAAAUAAUAUAUGUAUAUAAAACAGUAUACACUUAUAUAUAAAUACCUAUUCUAUUAUAAAUAUAUACACAUGCAUAUAUGUAACAGUAUAUAUCUAUAUAUAAAUACAUAUAUAGCAAUAUAUACCUAUAUAUCCUACUAUAUAUAAAUACAUAAAUAUGAUAGGAUACAUCUCUAUAUAAACAAAUAUGUAUUCUAUUAUGUAUAAAAAUACAUAUAUAUAAAAGUAUAUCUCAUAUAAAUGACUAUAUACCCUAUUAUAUAUAAAUACAAAUAAAUCAUUAUAUAAGCUAUUAUAUAAAAAUAUAUAAAUAAUUACAAAUAAAUGAAGAUAUACCCUGUUAUAUAAGAGUGUAUAUAAAUACAAAUAAUAUAUACCCUAUUAUAAAUACAUAUACACACCCCCACAUAUAAAUGAAUAUAUACCCUAUUAUAUAUGAAUAUAUAAAUACAAAUAAACGUGUGUGUGUGUAUAUAUAUAUACACACACUAUUAUAUAUGAACAUAUAUAAAUACAAAUAAAUGUAUACCCUAUUAUAUACAAGUAUAUAUAAGUAAAUACAAAUAAAUGAAUAUGUACCCUAUUACAUAUAAAUACAAAUGAAUACACACCCUAUUAUAUAUCAAUAAAUGAAUAUAUAGCCUGUUAUAUAUAUAUAUACAUACACCCACAUAUAAAUGAAUAUAUACCCUAUUAAAUAUAUAUAUAUAAGUAAAUACAAAUAAAGGAACAUAAACCCUAUUAUACAUGAAUACACAUAAAUAAAUACAAAUAAAAAGGAAUAUAUACCCUAUUAUAUACAAGUGUAUAUAAAGAAAUAUGAAUAAAUGAAUAUAUACCGUUAUAUAUAAACAAAUAUAUAACCUAUUAUAUAUGAAUAUAGAAAUACAAAUCACUGAAUAUAUUCCCUAUUAUUUAUCCGUAAAUGAAUAUAUAACCUAUUAUAUAUAAAUACAGCUAUAUACACCUACAUAUAAAUGAAUAUAUACCCUGUUAUAUACAAGUAUAUAUAAAUACAAAUAAAUGAAUAUUUAUUAUAUGUAACUAUAAGUACAUACAUAUACAGCCAUAUAUAAAUGAAUAUCCUGUUACAGAUAAAUAUAAAUAAAUAUAAAAUAUAUAUCCUAACAUAAAGAUAUAUAACUACAUAUAUAUAGCCAUAUGUGAACGAAUAUAUACCCUAUUAUACGUAAAUAUGUAUAAAUAAAAAUAAAUGGCUAUAUAGAAUGAAUAUAUACCCUCUUCUAUAUCAAUACAUAUAAAUACACAUAUACACACACACCCACAUAUAUAUUUAUAUAGAAUAGGGUAUAUAUUCAUUUAUAUAACUGCAUAUGUAUAUACACACACCCAUAUAUAAAUUAACAUAUACCCUAUUCUGAAUAAAUAUAUAUAACUACAUAUAUAUACAUUUUUUUAUAUAUAUAUACACACACACAACAGUAUAUACCCAUGUAAGUAUAAGCUGAAAAUGCAUUUGUUUUUAUGAAGUAUUUGAUAUGAUUUUUACCAGCGCAACACGUUUCCUAAAUUCUUAUUACCUGGACUACCUGUUGACAGAAAGUAAAGAUAAUCUAACAAAAAUUCAUUUAAUUUUAAUAUCACAGGGUGCAAGAAGCUUCCUCAAAUGCUUAUUUCCUGCACUCCCUCUUCCCAGAUCUCCUUAAGGAUAAGCUACUAUCAAUGCAGUUAAUUUUAUUAACUAACUCUUUCAUCUGAUUUUUACAGAGGGGUUAGUCAAAUGAUGCAACAGGCUUCUUGAAGUGCUUAUUACCUCCACUAUCUAUUAACAAAUAUUCUUUAGGAUAAGCUACUACCACUGUAUUUAAUUUUAUGAAGUAUUUGAUUUCAUUUAUACUGACAACUGUCACCAGUUAACCUGAACUAUCUCUCACUGUCACCAAUUGCCCCAUCCUAUCCCAGACUGUAUUGCAGGCUAGCCCCUGACCGUGCGACUAUGGAUUCCAAGAUCCAUCACUUUCGUCUCUGAACCAGGAGACCCACAUAUGAGCCAUUCCCCGUACACAGCAUCACUAUCUCCUUUCCUUUCCUGACAAUCCUGCCUCUUUCCCAAGUGAUCACUCCAACGCAGAGUCCUCACACUUGAAGAACCUUAAGUCUGACAAUAAAACAACCCCCAGCACUUGAUGAUAGAAACCUCGUGUAAUUGUGGCACACACACCCCCCCCUUUACAGACGUUGUUUGGAGCUUACAAUGGGCCACGUACAGCCCAAUGCUUGUGUCCUGUACACCACCUCUACAAUAACUAACUCAUGCAUGAGAAACGCUUUUUUCUUCUAAUUUUAGAACCCAGCUAUUACAGAGCACUUGAAAACAUCUGUCUUCCUAUUCCCUUCAUCACACAAACUGCCUGUGCUACCCCAGCAAGGGAUUUAAAGUCUGCCAAAAGCUGGGUCUCCCACACAAACACAUAUAUCAACCUAAAGUUAUUCCUCUAGCCUAUUACAAGUGGUGAAUCCAAAAGGGAAAAGGUUCCUGUUAUGAACCACAUGCAGACUCUCUCCCUGGGGUUCCUAUAAGACACGUGGCAGCAAACCUGCCCUUCUUCCUACAUCACCAUUGAAUGCCAGCUUUUUUAUCAGAGGAUAAUUAAUUAAUCUCCAUAGGAAAAAAAUGGAAUCACAAACUAAAACAUGACAAAUAAGCUGCAGAUGACUGAAAGGUCAAGCUAAUAUACCAGCCUCCCAUGACUGAAAACAGGCAUUAACACACCCAUGCUUCUCCUCUACAUCAAACUUUGUAAAGGGAAGAGAAACGACACUGCAGCUAUCAUGUCAACACAAACAGUGUAAUGGAAAUGAUUACAAACUGUCCCAUCUUGUUUAUAUGCCCUGCAUGCCUCAGUUCAAAUCACUGCCAUCUCACUUCCAUACCUGGUCCUCAAUCUCUGCUCACAUGGACAGAAACGGGACACUGAGAACAGGAUAUUGUUCUGCAAGAAACCUGGGAAUAUGGGGUGGUUUUUAAGCCUCUGCACUGAAUUUGGCUCACCAUCUACAGAACUACCCAUUUCAAACCAUGCCUUGGGAAAUUCCUUCAUUUUGAGUGGGUUUAAUGCACACUCCAAAGCUUACACUGUAUUUAUCCCUACUGUCAGGGCAGAGUGCAGGGAAACAAACUGGUUUCUUAGCACACAACCCAUCACCCCACAGCCUCUCUAAGGGUUGACCUCACAGGGCACACACAUGUUGGGUAACAUGAAAUAAACCACAUGAAAUAAACAUGAAAUCGACCCUCCACAUGAGAAGAAGGAGCACGAAGCGCACUGCAGAGCAGCAAACCCCCCUCUGCUCACCCAAAGCAGACAAAACAGACUUGGUUUUACACAAACAGUGCAUUCCCGACCUUUGGAAAUCAAUACAGUGUACACAACUUCCAUAAACCACCUGUUUUGGUUAUCAUAGGGUUGGAAGGGACUUCAAAGCUCAUCUAGUUCCAGAGGGCAGGGACAACUUCCACUAGAUCAGGUUGCUCCAAGCCCCGUCCACCCUGGCCUUGAACACUGCCACCCCCAUAGGGAAGAGCAUCCCAAUAUCCCACCUCCCGCGUCCUGUUGCUCGCACCGAUCGCUUUCGCUCUACACAUCAUCGCCGUAUCCCCGCCCCGCCGCG
rnacentral:lncRNA from 1 species